rnacentral:misc_RNA from 1 species
AGCAGCCGCGGUAAUUCCAGCUCCAAUAGCGUAUAUUAAAGUUGUUGUAGUUAAAAAGCUCGUAGUUGAAUUUCGGGGUUAGUAGGUUGGUCAUGCCUCUGGUAUGUACUGGUCUCACUGAUUCCUCCUUCCUGAUGAGCCGUAAUGCCAUUAAUUUGGUGUUGCGGGGAAUUUGGACUGUUACUUUGAAAAAUUAGAGUGUUUAAAGCAAGCUAACGCUUGAAUACAUUAGCAUGGAAUAAUGAAAUAGGACGUUCGAUCCUAUUUUGUUGGUUUCUAGGAUUGACGUAAUGAUUAAUAGGGAUAGUUGGGGGCAUUAGUAUUCAAUUGUCAGAGGUGAAAUUCUUGGAUUUAUCGAAGACUAACUACUGCGAAAGCAUUUGCCAAGGAUGUUUUCAUUAAUCAAGAACGAAAGUUAGGGGAUCGAAGACGAUCAGAUACCGUCGUAGUCUUAACCAUAAACUAUGCCGACUAGGGAUCGGAUGAUGUUAAUUUUUAAUGACUCAUUCGGCGCCUUAAC